rnacentral:rRNA from 1 species
GACGUAGGGAGCGAGCGUUGUCCGGAUUCAUUGGGCGUAAAGAGCGCGCAGGCGGUUUGGUAAGUCGGAUGUGAAAACCCGGGGCUCAACCCCGGGCGUGCAUCUCGAUACUGCCCGACUAGAGGUAGGUAGGGGAGAUCGGAAUUCCUGGUGUAGCGGUGAAAUGCGCAGAUAUCAGGAGGAACACCGGUGGCGAAGGCGGAUCUCUGGGCCUUACCCGACGCUCAGGCGCGAAAGCUAGGGGAGCGAACAGG